rnacentral:rRNA from 1 species
UACAGAGACUGCAAGCGUUGUUCGGAUUUACUGGGCGUAAAGGGCGCGUAGGCGGCCAGCACAAGUCAGUUGUGAAAUCUCCGAGCUUAACUCGGAACGGUCAACUGAUACUGUGCGGCUAGAGUGCAGAAGGGGCAACUGGAAUUCUUGGUGUAGCGGUGAAAUGCGUAGAUAUCAAGAGGAACACCUGCGGCGAAGGCGGGUUGCUGGGCUGACACUGACGCUGAGGCGCGAAAGCUAGGGGAGCGAACGGG